rnacentral:rRNA from 1 species
GACGAACGCUGGCGGCGUGCAUAAUACAUGCAAGUAGGACGCAGUUGCGAACGGGAGAGGAACGCGUAGGUAAAUACCUAUAAGAGGGGGAUAACUAAUGGAAACGAUAGCUAAUACCGCAUACUAGUAGAUGGACCUGCGUGGUAUUAGGUAGUAGGUAGGGUAAUGGCCUACCUAGGCAACGAUACAUAGCCGAACUGAGAGGGGGAUCGGCCCAUCUGGGACUGAGACACGCCCCAGACUCCUAGGGGAGGCAGCAGUAGGGAAACUUCGGCAAUGGGGGGAACCCUGGCCGCGCAACGCCGCGUGAGUGAAGAAGGUUUUCGGAUCGUAAAGCGCUGUUGUUCAGGAAGCGGUACUUAACCAGAAAGGGACGGCUAACUACGUGCCAGCAGCCGCGGUAAUUC